CCGAGUCUAAAAACUCCCUAAACCAUUGUGAACAUUACUUACUUCGUUGCUUCGGUGGAUCAGCCCGCUCUAGGGUCCUUGUCCAAGGGACGGCCCGCCAGAGGUACCCUUAACUCUUGCUUUUUAUAUGUCACAUCUGAGUUAUUAACCAUAAAUAAUCA
rnacentral:misc_RNA from 1 species